AUUCUCUCUGGAAUCACCUUUAGCUUUCGACAGAUCUCGAUCCCAAGACCUUUAAUCAGAGGCAUUGCACUUGCGACUAAAUGCCAUCUUUCUAGGUUUCGAAGAUAUUCAAGAUGAAGGAACUCCAGUUGACUGAAGCUGUUAUCACUGCAGGGCAGACAAAUUUGAGGCAGAUACAACAGCAAAUGGUGAGUUAUCGCAAUUGCAUAAUGAUGCAAACGGAGGAGGAGUUACCAUUGUUUCUCGAAAUACUCUCAAAUCCUUGAAGGUUCUUCUUUUGAUCCAUUUCAAUCUGUCCCUGAAAUAUUACGAAAUGGAGACCUGCAGAAUGCGGUUUAGAGUGAAAAGUAUGGAUUGACAGCUAAAUUACGAGAAUACAUUUUCAAACUAGAGGUAGAGUCUUUGACGGCAUGAAUAAGCACUCAGGCCUGUGACAAAACUUAAUAUGCAUCUUUUUAGGCUCAAAAGUUUGGCACAAGAAUUUUGGUUGUCCAGGAUUAGAUUGCCCAGAUAGUAAGAGACAACACGACAAAACAUAUAUUUGGUGAAGUAGUACUAAUAUGCGGAAGCAAUGGGUGAUGAUCUCCAAAGGCUAUAACUUGAUGGCAACAGAUUGCAGGGCAGCUUCAUAUGGAGUUAUAACAACAAAUAUGGACAGUGGUGUUUUAGAAAUGAGUUAAUAAUACUCUCUUGAAAAGUAGAUGGCGCUUUUAGUGGCAACGACCAACGGAGGAUCAAAAAAGCAAGAGAUGGUUAGUGUUCUCUUCUGGUCUUUUAAUGUACAUGAAAUUGUGAUCUGCUGGACAUAUUCUUUCUAUUUUCAUUAACUGUCAUUGUGGUUUCUGUCUUUUGUGAAAAAACUGAUCUGUGCCUUCGUCUUUAGUCUUUGUUACUUUGGAGUGGUACUUGGUGCUGUUUCUGAAAUUGAUGCAAUCUUGAUCUUAAUUACUACCAUGAAAUGAAUGUGACACAGCAUUCAAGUAGACGAAAGAGGGACCGAAUAGGGCGCCAUCUGGUAAGCUUAAAGCAGGACCUUUAUCGAAAACAUUUAGACUAUAACGCUAUGUUCAUCGGACGUGGGAGUUGUCCAUGAUGUUUUCCACCCAAAAUGACUUCCUUCAUAUCAAACACACAUCAUUUCUUAAUGACAUCAUUUUGAUGCCACUCAAAUUUAAUUACUUUAAAGGUUAGAUCACGUCAGGCGUAGAAGGCAUGUAAUUUAAUUGAGUCUGUAAAUUAACUUCUAAUGAUUGAUUAUUUUGGCAUGCAUUGCGUCUCUGCUUUUGCAGUAAAAUUGUGUCCUUUAUAGUUUGCAUCAGAUGUUUGAGCUUGUGUGUGCAAAAUCAGAAAAAUAAGGGACUGCAAUAAAUCGACAAGGGAUUCGUGAUUUUUUUUAAAAUCAAAUUCAGGAAAUAUACUAAAGCUAGUUAAAUGAACUCCUCUGCUAUGCGAGUAUGAGUUAAAAACAUCAAAAUGUAGACAGCAGAGCACCAUAUACCAUUUUUAAUAUCAUAAUUUAACAUAUGUAUGACAUGUCUAAUAAGUUUAAACUCUCAUUGUAUUGAUACCAAACAGAAAUAUAAUAACUUAUUUAGAAGUAACUCUUUUUACUUAAAAGAUCUCGAUCAGAUUAUACAGCAGAUCAAGACUGUCAUUAUUGCAGGUAAAUUUUUCUUUACAUCUCUAGUACUUGUUAAAUUGACU